rnacentral:ncRNA from 2 species
UUUUUUUAAGGAAACAGUGAACCGUAUAUUUUAUCUGGGCACUUUAUAUAUGGUGAGUUAAUAGUGCAACCGGCCUUGAUAGUU